AGCCUUCUGUAUCUGCGCUGAGAUUUCGUCAGAGAUCAACCCAUUGUGGCUGAUGGUACUUCCUAAAUAAGUGAAGCA
rfam:Trichobilharzia regenti genome assembly, scaffold: TRE_scaffold0013085